UACGGGGGGGGCAAGCGUUGUUCGGAAUUACUGGGCGUAAAGGGCUCGUAGGCGGCCAACUAAGUCAUACGUGAAAUCCCUCGGCUUAACCGGGGAACUGCGUCUGAUACUGGUUGGCUUGAGUGCAGGAGAGGAAUGCGGAAUUCCAGGUGUAGCGGUGAAAUGCGUAGAUAUCUGGAGGAACACCGGUGGCGAAGGCGGCAUUCUGGACUGCAACUGACACUGAAAGACGAAAGCCAGGGGAGCAAACGGG
rnacentral:rRNA from 1 species